rnacentral:piRNA from 1 species
GAAAGCUGAGAAAGACCUUGACGGUGUCU